UCUCGAGCCUUGGCUGGAUUUCCUGCCGUGUCUCUCUGCAUUGCCCUGAAUCUCUCCCCAUUCUCGGGCUCUUUCCUUCCCCUUCUGCCCCACUGACCCAUGGGCCUCACCUGGCCCGGUGACUCUGUGUCCGCUUCACACUUUUGUCCCCGCUUCACACUUUUGUCCCCUCACUCCCCUGGGCCCCGUCGGUGCACGAGCCCAACCCUUCCUGCUAUUUUCCUCGUCACUCUUUAGCCCCCUCUCUCGUAUCCUCUGAACCGGUUGACAGAAUCCUCUUCCUGUUCUUUUUAAACUGCAAUUCCUGAACUACAAAUCCUGGCCGGGCGUGGUGGUUCAGGCCUGUAAUCCCAGCACUUUGGGAGGCCAAGGUGGGCGGAUCGCUUCAGGUCAGGAGUUUGAGACCAGCCUGGGAAACAUGGUGAAACCCCGCUCUCUACUAAAAUACAAAAAUUAGCCGGGCAUGGUAACGAGUGCCUGUAAUCCCAGCUACUUGGGAGGCUAACGCACGAGAAUCUUGGGGGGAAAAACCCCAAAACUGUAAUUCCUGGCUGAGGUAUGCUUUGUAUAUCCUUCUUAGCUGACCUGAGCCCAAUUUACCUCAAGACUUGGCCUCUUGGUCUCCUCAGCCCAAAUGCUCACUUUAUUUCCCCUAUCCCCUCUUUGAGGGAAGCAGAGGGCCCUCGUUCCUCUCACCCUGGACAAGGCAUGCGUGCUCAGAUUUCCCUGUAAGGAACAUGGGCUCUUGCCUGUCACUCUGGCCACCUGGUGUCUCCAUUGUAGUCUGUGCCUCAAUGAGGUCCUUAAGAGGGCAAGAGGUGACUUUCUUUCUAACCAUGUAGGGAGCCAGGGAAUCCCAGCUAGAGAUAGGCUUAGAUGGAUGCCAGCAGGCUCCUGGGUAGUUACAGUUCAAAGAACAAUGUGGAACCACAUAGGUUACAAAGUGAGUACAGAAAGGCCUCUAGAAGGCCUCAGGCAUUUGCCUUUUUCUUUUAGCUGAUAGGAUGGGGCGAGAUUAGGAGAUGGGACGAGGAAGGAGGAUGCUUUGAACUGAACAGACAAGUCUGUCUGACUUCUCACAGCUUGUUAUGUGGGAGAGUGUGGGGCCAGUUGCUUGUAGUUUUUUCCUGUCCCUGGGAAUAUCCCUGCCAGCACUGGGGCCCAGGGCCCUGCAGACUGCCCUAUUUGCUUCAAAACUUCUUUCCCCAACCUGGCUGAUCUCACCAUGUCAAGACCUAGUUAUGCUUGAGCAGGCAUUGGGCUCCAGGCCUCUGGCCCCUCCAGAAGGGCACUUGACUGUAAGGAUGAAAUCCUGUCUCUGAGCUGCACUCAGUGUGAAGUGCCACCACCUGCAUCUCCCUGUCUCAGGGUUGUGGAUACCCCCUGGCUGGGCUUCAUGGAGAAAUCUUUUCUGAUCACCAACCUGAAUCCCAGAGUAGCCUCCAUCUUAGGACAGAAUGAGAGGCCUUCUGUAACCAGAUAUAACUGGCCAGCAUGGGGAAAUUGAUCAGGAUGGGGCCGCAAGAGAGGUGGUUACUCCGGACAAAGCGGCUUCAUUGGAGUCGCCUCCUCUUCUUACUGGGAAUGUUGAUCAUCGGUUCUACUUAUCAGCACCUUAGGAGACCCCGGGGCCUUUCCUCAUUGUGGGCAGCAGUCUCUUCUCAUCAGCCUAUAAAACUGGCCAGUCGGGACCUCUCCAGUGAAGAGAUGAUGAUGGUGAGCAGCAGCCCUUCAAAACCUAGCUCCGAAAUGGAGGGUAAGAUGCUGGUACCCCAAGCCUCAGUGGGCAGUGAUGAAGCAACACUGAGCAUGACAGUGGAGAAUAUCCCCAGUAUGCCUAAAAGAACAGCCAAGAUGAUCCCAACAACAACCAAGAAUAAUUACAGCCCAACAGCAGCAGGUACAGAAAGAAGGAAGGAAGACACCCCAACAUCCAGUAGAACACUGACUUACUACACCUCAACUUCAAGCAGACAAGUAGUAAAAAAGUAUACCCCAACACCCAGGGGAGAAAUGAAGAGCUACAGCCCAACUCAAGUCAGGGAAAAGGUGAAGUAUACUCCUUCCCCACGUGGUAGAAGAGUAGGCACUUACGUGCCAUCCACAUUCAUGACAAUGGAAACAAGCCAUGCGAUCACCCCCAGGACAACAGUGAAAGACAGUGACAUUACAGCAACCUAUAAAAUACUCGAAACCAACUCUCUUAAGAGAAUAAUGGAGGAAACAACCCCAACCACUCUCAAGGGAAUGUUUGAUAGCACCCCAACUUUUCUGACACAUGAGGUAGAAACAAACGUCUUGACUUCUCCAAGGAGCGUCAUGGAAAAAAACAACCUGUUUCCCCCCAGAAGAGUGGAAAGUAACAGCUCAGCCCAUCCCUGGGGGUUAGUGGGAAAGAACAACCCGAAGACUCCCCAGGGAACAGUCCUGGUGCAUACCCCAGCCACCUCUGAGGGGCAGGUGACAAUAAGCACCAUGACAGGCAGCAGCCCAGCAGAAACCAAAGCCUUCACUGCUGCCUGGAGUCUUAGGAAUCCCUCACCCAGGACCAGUGUAUCAGCCAUCAAAACAGCCCCAGCCAUAGUCUGGAGGCUGGCAAAGAAACCUUCCACAGCACCCAGCACCUCAACAACCCCCACGGUCAGGGCAAAGCUGACCAUGCAGGUCCAUCACUGUGUGGUUGUGAAGCCAACCCCAGCCAUGCUCACCACUCCCUCCCCAAGCCUCACAACGGCCCUGCUCCCAGAGGAGCUCAGUCCCAGUCCCUCAGUGCUGCCUCCCAGCUUGCCAGACCUCCACCCCAAGGGAGAGUACCCCCCAGAUCUGUUCAGUGUGGAGGAGCGGCGGCAGGGCUGGGUGGUCCUGCACGUUUUUGGCAUGAUGUAUGUGUUUGUGGCCUUGGCCAUUGUUUGCGACGAGUACUUCGUUCCAGCCCUGGGUGUCAUCACAGACAAGCUGCAGAUCUCUGAGGAUGUGGCAGGCGCCACAUUCAUGGCUGCUGGAGGCUCUGCUCCUGAGCUCUUCACCUCCCUCAUCGGUGUCUUCAUUUCCCACAGCAACGUGGGCAUUGGUACCAUUGUGGGCUCUGCUGUGUUCAACAUUCUCUUUGUCAUUGGUACUUGUUCCCUCUUCUCCCGAGAGAUCCUCAACCUCACCUGGUGGCCCUUAUUCCGUGAUGUCUCCUUCUACAUCCUUGACCUGAUAAUGCUCAUCCUCUUCUUCCUGGACAGCCUCAUUGCCUGGUGGGAGAGCCUGCUGCUGCUGCUGGCCUAUGCCUUCUAUGUGUUCACCAUGAAGUGGAACAAGCAUAUCGAGGUCUGGGUGAAGGAGCAGCUCAGCAGGAGGCCACUGGCCAAGGUCAUGGCCUUAGAAGACCUCAGCAAGCUCCCGUCCUUGCUGACCCGAGGGAGCAGCUCGACCUCUCUGCACAACAGCACCAUCCGCAGCACCAUCUACCAGCUCAUGCUCCACAGCCUGGACCCCCUGAGGGAAGUUCGCCUUGCCAAGGAGAAGGAGGAGGAGAGCUUGAAUCAAGAGACCAGAGCCCAACCCCAGGCCAAAGCAGAAAGCAAACCAGAAGAGGAGGAGCCAGCCAAGCUCCCUGCGGUCACGGUCACACCAGCCCCUGUUCCAGACAUCAAGGGAGAUCAGAAGGAGAAUCCAGGCGGUCAGGAAGAUGUGGCUGAGGCCGAGAGCACAGGUGAAAUGCCAGGCGAAGAGGGCGAAACUGCUGGUGAAGGUGAAACUGAAGAGAAAAGUGGAGGUGAAACUCAACCAGAAGGUGAAGGUGAAACUGAAACACAAGGAAAAGGAGAAGAAUGUGAAGAUGAAAAUGAAGCAGAAGGAAAAGGAGACAAUGAAGGUGAAGAUGAGGGUGAAAUCCACGCAGAAGAUGGUGAAAUGAAAGGUAAUGAAGGUGAAACUGAAAGCCAGGAACUCAGUGCUGAAAAUCACAGUGAAGCCAAAAAUGAUGAGAAAGGUGUAGAAGAUGGAGGGGGAAGUGAUGGAGGGGAUAGCGAAGAGGAGGAAGAGGAGGAGGAAGAGCAGGAGGAAGAGGAGGAGGAGGAAGAGCAGGAGGAAGAGGAGGAGGAAGAGGAGGAGAAGGGAAAUGAAGAGCCUCUGUCCCUGGACUGGCCUGAAACCAGGCAGAAGCAGGCCAUUUACCUCUUCCUUCUGCCCAUCGUGUUCCCACUGUGGCUGACAGUCCCCGACGUCCGAAGGCAGGAGUCUAGGAAGUUUUUUGUUUUCACCUUCCUGGGAUCUAUCGUGUGGAUAGCCAUGUUCUCAUACCUCAUGGUGUGGUGGGCUCACCAGGUGAGUGAACAGCAGGAACGAAAUCCUCUACCAGCAGGUCCCAACGACACUUUCCUUCAGGAUCAAUCUCCGGUACUCAGGGAAUCUUGAGGAUCAAGUGAAUUCGUGCAGUUUCUAUGUUGUUUGUAAAGGCUUAAAAGUAGACUUUUUAUUCCAGUGAACACAGUGCUUCUCAAGUGUGGCUUUUCUGUCAUAUCCUGUAGCAUGGCAUAGAAGGCCUUGGAAUCCUGCCUGAUUCCAGCUGAACUUGGCUUAUUAGCCUUAUUUCCUGCUUUCUCCGCCAUGUACCCAUCCCUCUCACCUGGUGAAAUCCUACGCAUUCUGAGAGCCAGCUUUUUUCGCCUGCUCUCUGGCAUUCAAUUAGUCUUCCUCUGAGUACCUAUAGUGUUUCUGUUCUGCCUGGAAUACUGAACUGUAAUAAUUGUUUACUAGCUUUCCUCUCUAAAAGGCUGAGAUUAGGGUCUAUGUCAUCCUGCUCAUACUUCACCUCCAGCCUCUUAGUUCCUGGCACACAGCAAGUGUCCACAUCCCUGGAAAUAGAAAUGCUGACAUGAACAGCUCUUUGGAAGGGCAGUUCUUGUGGGGAGGUAGGGGUGUUAAGAGUUGGAAUGACAGUGAGCAGCAGAUCUGGUGUAGGUAACUUUUAGUCCAAUUGUGAAAAGAAGAGCAACAUGGUCCCUGCGGCCAGGAGCAGGAGUCUUGCCUGCUCUUCCUCUCUGUGGCCAUCUCAGCUGUCGGUCCCCCUAUCACCCUUCCUCACUCAGGCUGAGGGGGUGUGGCUGAGCUCCUUAGAAGGCAUUCUGUUUGCACAAAGUAGGAUGUGGAUAGUGCUUGGAUGUGCCUCAGGUUUUUCACCUACUGUUGACCGUUGCCAUUUACCAGGUUGGUGAAACAAUAGGGAUUUCUGAAGAGAUCAUGGGCCUGACAAUCCUUGCAGCAGGCACAUCAAUUCCUGACCUCAUCACCAGUGUGAUUGUCGCUCGAAAAGGCCUGGGAGACAUGGCUGUGUCAAGCUCUGUGGGCAGUAACAUAUUUGAUAUCACUGUGGGGUGAGUGGCAAUGUUACUUUCUAAGGGGUGUUAAGUAUGACUGGAAAACACUGCAUUGGCUGUGUUCACUGGUUUUCUGCUUUAUUCAUUAUACAUAGAAUAAAAGGGCAUUUAUAUUGUU
rnacentral:sRNA from 1 species